rnacentral:rRNA from 1 species
GGAUUAGAUACCCUGGUAGUCCACGCUGUAAACGAUGGAUACUAGCUGUUCGGAUUUCGGUCUGAGUGGCUAAGCGAAAGUGAUAAGUAUCCCACCUGGGGAGUACGUUCGCAAGAAUGAAACUCAAAGGAAUUGACGGGGGCCCGCACAAGCGGUGGAGCAUGUGGUUUAAUUCGAUGAUACGCGAGGAACCUUACCAGGGCUUAAAUGUAUUGUGACAGGGGUGGAAACACCUUUUUCUUCGGACACAUUACAAGGUGCUGCAUGGUUGUCGUCAGCUCGUGCCG